GAGUGGCAAAAACGGAGAAGAGAAAGCGUGCAUGAGCGAACAUCACGACACGGAACGUUAACGACCAGGCUAUUGAAAAGAAAGAACGGCGUGCCGCGGCGGAAUGCUGCGUGCCGAGUCGACGCAUCGGAACGCCCCAUGUGCAAGCAAGAACAUGGUUCACAAAGAAACCAGUCACUAGUAAUUCUCAAAGUAAUAGCAUUUGCUCUAAUGCUGGCUGUGCAGACAGUGACUUUCUCGGGCUUCCCGCUCUUCGCUGAUCGAAGGACAACUGACAGUCCUUUCUGUGAGCUAACCAUGCGACGCAUUACCAUGCAAUCCUUACGACUAGCCUGGAAACAUUAAUGAUCUCGGCUGCAGUGGUCGAUGACAGCCGCCACAGCAGCGAUUUAAGG
rnacentral:lncRNA from 1 species